UACAGAGGGUGCAAGCGUUAAUCGGAAUUACUGGGCGUAAAGCGCGCGUAGUCGGUUAUUUAAGUCGGGUGUGAAAGCCCCGGGCUCAACCUGGGAAUUGCAUUCGAUACUGGAUAGCUAGAGUUCGGCAGAGGGAAGCGGAAUUUCCGGUGUAGCGGUGAAAUGCGUAGAUAUCAGGAAGAACACCCGUGGCUAAGGCGGUUCUCUAGUACGGUACUGACGCCGAGACGCGAAAGCGUGGGGAGCGAACAGG
rnacentral:rRNA from 1 species